rnacentral:rRNA from 1 species
GUCGAACGGUAACAGGUUAAGCUGACGAGUGGCGAACGGGUGAGUAAUAUAUCGGAACGUGCCCAGUCGUGGGGGAUAACUGCUCGAAAGAGCAGCUAAUACCGCAUACGACCUGAGGGUGAAAGCGGGGGAUCGCAAGACCUCGCGCGAUUGGAGCGGCCGAUAUCAGAUUAGGUAGUUGGUGGGGUAAAGGCCCACCAAGCCAACGAUCUGUAGCUGGUCUGAGAGGACGACCAGCCACACUGGGACUGAGACACGGCCCAGACUCCUACGGGAGGCAGCAGUGGGGAAUUUUGGACAAUGGGCGCAAGCCUGAUCCAGCCAUGCCGCGUGCGGGAAGAAGGCCUUCGGGUUGUAAACCGUUUUUGUCAGGGAAGAAAAGGUUCUGGUUAAUACCUGGGACUCAUGACGGUACCUGAAGAAUAAGCACCGGCUAACUACGUGCCAGCAGCCGCGGUAAUACGUAGGGUGCAAGCGUUAAUCGGAAUUACUGGGCGUAAAGCGUGCGCAGGCGGUUAUGCAAGACAGAGGUGAAAUCCCCGGGCUCAACCUGGGAACUGCCUUUGUGACUGCAUGGCUAGAGUACGGUAGAGGGGGAUGGAAUUCC